rnacentral:lncRNA from 10 species
CUCACUCCCUUGGCUUGGUGUUCUUGUUCACAACCUUAUACUCUGGCCUUGCUUCUGAGGUUCUGGCUUUAGCAACUGAGUUAAUGAGCAACUGAGUAUCAUGUACUGAGAUGAAGAAUUCACUAUCAUGCCCAAUUGCCCACUGCCUUGCCAAAUCAUAAGAGUCACAUAAUAAAAAGAUGACAGUAAUAUAGUUCAGCAGUUGCC